rnacentral:rRNA from 1 species
GACGUAGGGCGCGAGCGUUGUCCGGAUUUAUUGGGCGUAAAGAGCUCGUAGGCGGCUUGUCGCGUCGACUGUGAAAACCCGCGGCUCAACUGCGGGUCUGCAGCCGAUACGGGCAGGCUAGAGUUCGGUAGGGGGAGACUGGAAUUCCUGGUGUAGCGGUGAAAUGCGCAGAUAUCAGGAAGAACACCCGUGGCGAAGGCGGCUCUCUGGGACGGUACUGACGCUGAGACGCGAAAGCGUGGGGAGCGAACAGG